GUAAAGCCUCCUUGCCAGUUCUCUGACUCUUAUCACGGUGCUCUCUGGAGCCCUCCAUCCAAAGGGAGCUUGCCUCUGUGAUGGAACGGAGGCCACGUUCAUCCUCUGGAGAGGCGCCGGAAUCAUCCAGCCGUCCUCCUCGUCAAAGUUAUGGGCAAUUUGACCUGCCAUUUAGCUGUUUCCUGGAGCCGGUUGAAUGGUUCUUAGGGCCGUUUCUACCUUGAAGACAACACAGGGCUCCAGGAUAAGAAACAUCAGAAGCCUCAACAGGAGACUGCAAAUUCUUGGCUAUUUAAUUGGAGCCUUUUGCUGCUCUUGAAACCAGCUGGAGAGAAGGAGCAAGCGAAGAGCUUGAAGAGCUGGUCUUUGAGUCAGAGCUAAGUAUAGCAUAGCCAAGUGCUUCAUCUCCCCACUCACCAUAUCGCUGUGGAUUUUGAAGGAGGUUGGCUCCAGGGAGAAAAUAUUUAAGGCUGGAGAAAUAGUUUUCUUCAGUUUGUCUUCUGUGGAUGCAAAGCACAAAUGUUA
rnacentral:lncRNA from 1 species